AACCCAAUAGAAAAGCUCUCCGCUUUACUCUCUAUUCGUCUCCCACUCUCUCACUUUACACCCUCAACAGAAACUAAUAACAAAAAACAAUUCUCCUCUUUCUCUCCAUAGAUCGAUCAUGUCUUUGUGAUGUUGAACAGAAGAAGUACUCCACCAACUCUUUGCAACAAAAGGUGUUUUUAGUUUUUUUUUUUAGGAAAUCAUGAUUUUCAAGAUUAUGGUAUAAGCUGGAGACAACAUUUUCCUUGCCAAAGCUUAUUAUGCUGAUGCUAUUGGUCCUUGCUAUGGAAUUUCCAAUUAUUGUGAUGUUUUUUGGAUAUGUUGCUCAUUUUAGCUUUUUGGAAGAUCAGCAGCAGGAGUUGCUAAUUGACUCAAGGGCGAUAAAGAAAAUCUUAUACUUAGGAAAUGUCAUGCAACAGAUAUUUUUUGGGACUUGGAUUUGUUUUGUAAAGCUACCUCGACUUAUAUGUGAAAUUUAGGCCAAAUACCACUUAUCAAACUAUUUGUAGGGUGUUGUUGAACUUCAUUAUGAUAUUUGAAUGCUUGAUAUGAUAUUUUGGCAUUUCGUAAUACAA